ACGGGUGAGUAACACGUAUCCAACCUGCCGUCUACUCUUGGACAGCCUUCUGAAGGAAGAUUAAUCCAGGAUGGCAUCAUGAGUUCACAUGUCCGCAUGAUUAAAGGUAUUUUCCGGUAGACGAUGGGGAUGCGUUCCAUUAGAUAGUAGGCGGGGUAACGGCCCACCUAGUCAACGAUGGAUAGGGGUUCUGAGAGGAAGGUCCCCCACAUUGGAACUGAGACACGGUCCAA
rnacentral:rRNA from 1 species